GCUGGACGUGUUCCCAGAGGUCUGCUUCUGUGAGGCCGGGAGAGUUAACUGUAACAAAAAGGGACUACUCAGCGUCCCAGCUGUGUCUUCCAAUAUAACAGCUCUUGAGCUCAACAGCAACCAGAUAACAGCUCUCCAACCAGACCAGUUCAUCCGCUACAGACACCUUGAGAGACUACACCUGGAAGACAACAGGAUCAAAAGCAUCUCCAAGCAGGCAUUCUCAGGACUCUACUCACUAAGAAGACUGUAAGUCCUAAUUCAUUAUGGGCCACAGUCUGACCUGCGGUACCAUGCGUACAUCCCUACAUCACCACUAAAGGUUGCCCUACAUCACACUUCAUGAAAAGGUAUUGUAAGUUUUGUAGUAUGUAAUACUGUAGGAUGUGUAAGUGGGCCAACACUGUAUGUUAAGCUCCUUGAGGAGAAAAUAUAUAGGGAAAUCAAAGAGAACCAGUCAAUGAAUACACUGACUCAUUUACUGGCGCAUCCUUGAGAAGUCUAAAUAGAUUCAGAUACUGUAGUCUUUCUCCGCUAUUCAAACCUAAGACGUGUGAAGUGCCCAGGUCUAGUAGACAUAAAUCAGAUGAAGCCCGGCUGGUCUGUAAUUAAAAGGAAGACAUGAAAACCUUUCAUCCUCCUCUGUCAGGAUUUGGGUAUCUAGGACAGGGUAUCGUAGAGAUUAUAUACUAGUCACUCUGACAGAUUUUGCUAACAGCAAAAUCAACUGCUCCUACUUCUCACUUGUCACAGCUAUUUUCACAUCCAGCUUAAUGUUAGUGGGAAAGGAAUCGUAAGUAAGCAUUUCACAGAUAAGUCUACACCUGUUGUAUUCGGCACAUGUGACAAAUAAAACGUGAUUUGAUUUAGUGUCUUUCCUCUGCAUUCCUGAGGGUCCCAGGGUGUUAUCAGUGUAAGGCUGUGGGAAACAAACAAUGACAAGGAAAAUGUGUCAGUGCUCUGUCCUAAUAGUCUCAGAUAGAAUUUGCAUGAGGAACAGGUGGAUGUGUUACCCUACCUUACCACAUUGCAUAUUACUUGCAAGCAGUGGAAUGUUCAAAGUGCAGAAGUAAGAUCUGCAAUUACAACUGUCCC